GCAAGAGCGGCGUGCCGAGUCAGCGGAAAACCAAGGUUCUCCGCUUCUCGAAGAAAGAGGGGAGUGUGAGGGAACGUGUCCCUCACAGGCUGUAGAGCUGUUAAAGCCAGGGGCUCGGAUAUCCGAACACGGCGAAUUUAGAAGAGGCGCUCAGAGAGCGGGGGCCCAAGACGGCGGAGCAGAAUAGAGGGGAAGGAUGGGAUCGGGCCGGCAGCGGACCAACGCAUGCCCAAAUAUGGCCAUGGAAUCGGGGUCCAGUUACGAAGAAGGGAGAAAGCAUCAGAAUCGCCGAUGGAAAAACACUGACCGCGUGUUAGAACCGUUAGCCGGCGCCUAUAUAAGGAGGGUGGCCGCCAAGCGAGAGGGGCUUCACGCGUGAGCAGCCCAAGAGCUAGGCCGAGUGUUCGAGUGAAUAAGUGGAUCGAAGUGCAUAAUAGCGGAAAUCGUAACGGGACCCGCGACAUCGAAUGCCCAGAGUGAGUCUUGCAUAAUCAGAGUGAACUACAGAUUUUCGGACGAGGUUAAGGUAGAGAAAGGCGAACCGUUGGAGUGCGGAAUUGGUGUGGCGGAUUAAGAUCAAUUGCCCCAGUUCAGC
rnacentral:lncRNA from 1 species